GAGUUUGAUCCUGGCUCAGGAUGAACGCUGGCGGCGUGCUUAACACAUGCAAGCCGAACGAAGCACCUGGAUUUGAUUCUUCGGAUGAAGAUCCUUGUGACUGAGUGGCGGACGGGUGAGUAACGCGUGGGUAACCUGCCUCAUACAGGGGGAUAACAGUUAGAAAUGACUGCUAAUACCGCAUAAGACCACAGGGUCGCAUGACCUGGUGGGAAAAACUCCGGUGGUAUGAGAUGGACCCGCGUCUGAUUAGGUAGUUGGUGGGGUAACGGCCUACCAAGCCGACGAUCAGUAGCCGACCUGAGAGGGUGACCGGCCACAUUGGGACUGAGACACGGCCCAAACUCCUACGGGAGGCAGCAGUGGGGAAUAUUGCACAAUGGGGGAAACCCUGAUGCAGCGACGCCGCGUGAGCGAAGAAGUAUUUCGGUAUGUAAAGCUCUAUCAGCAGGGAAGAAAAUGACGGUACCUGACUAAGAAGCACCGGCUAAAUACGUGCCAGCAGCCGCGGUAAUACGUAUGGUGCAAGCGUUAUCCGGAUUUACUGGGUGUAAAGGGAGCGUAGACGGCUGUGUAAGUCUGAAGUGAAAGCCCGGGGCUCAACCCCGGGACUGCUUUGGAAACUAUGCAGCUAGAGUGUCGGAGAGGUAAGUGGAAUUCCCAGUGUAGCGGUGAAAUGCGUAGAUAUUGGGAGGAACACCAGUGGCGAAGGCGGCUUACUGGACGAUGACUGACGUGAGGGCUCGAAAGCGUGGGGAGCANACAGGAUUAGAUACCCUGGUAGUCCACGCCGUAAACGAUGACUACUAGGUGUCGGGGAGCAAAGCUCUUCGGUGCCGCAGCAAACGCAAUAAGUAGUCCACCUGGGGAGUACGUUCGCAAGAAUGAAACUCAAAGGAAUUGACGGGGACCCGCACAAGCGGUGGAGCAUGUGGUUUAAUUCGAAGCAACGCGAAGAACCUUACCUGCUCUUGACAUCCCGGUGACCGGCAUGUAAUGAUGCUUUUUCUUCGGAACACCGGUGACAGGUGGUGCAUGGUUGUCGUCAGCUCGUGUCGUGAGAUGUUGGGUUAAGUCCCGCAACGAGCGCAACCCUUAUCUUCAGUAGCCAGCAUUUAAGGUGGGCACUCUGGAGAGACUGCAGGGAUAACCUGGAGGAAGGUGGGGAUGACGUCAAAUCAUCAUGCCCCUUAUGAGCAGGGCUACACACGUGCUACAAUGGCGUAAACAAAGGGAAGCGAACCUGUGAGGGUAAGCAAAUCUCAAAAAUAACGUCCCACCUCGGAUUGUAGUCUGCAACUCGACUGCAUGAAGCUGGAAUCGCUAGUAAUCGCGAAUCAGCAUGUCGCGGUGAAUACGUUCCCGGGACUUGUACACACCGCCC
rnacentral:rRNA from 1 species